rnacentral:rRNA from 1 species
CAGUGCUUAACGCUGUUGUGCUAUAGAAACUGUUUUACUAGAGUGAGAUAGAGGCAAGCGGAAUUCCAUGUGUAGCGGUAAAAUGCGUAAAUAUAUGGAGGAACACCAGAGGCGUAGGCGGCUUGCUGGGUCUUUACUGACGCUGAGGCACGAAAGCGUGGGGAGCAAACAGGAUUAGAUACCCUGGUAGUCCACGCCGUAAACGAUGAGUACUAAGUGUCGGGUAAAACUGGUACUGAAGUUAACACAUUAAGUACUCCGCCUGAGUAGUACGUACGCAAGUAUGAAACUUAAAGGAAUUGACGGGACUCCGCACAAGCGGUGGAUCAUGUUGUUUAAUUCGAAGAUACACGAAAAACCUUACCAGGUCUUGACAUUUUCUUGCGAAGUUAUAGAAAUAUAAUGGAGGUUAUCAGGAAAACAGGUGGUGCAUGGUUGUCGUCAGCUCGUGUCGUGAGAUGUUAGGUUAAGUCCUAAAACGAGCGCAACCCUUGUCGUUAAUUGCCAGCAUGUAAUGAUGGGGACUUUAACGAGACUGCCAAUGAAAAAUUGGAGGAAGGUGGGGAUUACGUCAAAUCAUCAUGCCCCUUAUGAUCUGGGCUACAAACGUGAUACAAUGGUUGAUACAAAGAGUAGCUGAAACGCGAGUUCUUAACCAAUCUCAAAAAAUCAAUCUCAGUUCGGAUUGAAGUCUGCAACUCGACUUCAUGAAGUUGGAAUCGCUAGUAAUCGCGAAUCAGCA